rnacentral:rRNA from 1 species
AGUGAACGCUGGCGGUAGGCCUAACACAUGCAAGUCGAACGGCAGCACAGUAAGAGCUUGCUCUUACGGGUGGCGAGUGGCGGACGGGUGAGGAAUACAUCGGAAUCUACUUUUUCUUGGGGGAUAACGUAGGGAAACUUACGCUAAUACCGCAUACGACCUACGGGUGAAAGCAGGGGAUCUUCGGACCUUGCGCGAUUGAAUGAGCCGAUGUCGGAUUAGCUAGUUGGCGGGGUAAAGGCCCACCAAGGCGACGAUCCGUAGCUGGUCCGAGAGGGUGAUCCGCCACACUGGCACUGAGACACGGUCCAGACUCUUACGGGAGGCAGCAGUGGGGAAUAUUGGACAAGGGGCGCAAGCCUGAUCCAGCCAUACCGCGUGGGUGAAGAAGGCCUUCGGGUUGUAAAGCCAUUUUGUUGGGAAAGAAAAGCAGCAGGUUAAUACCCCGCUGUUCUGACGGUACCCAAAGAAUAAGCACCGGCUAACUUCGUG